UACGUAGGGUGCAAGCGUUGUCCGGAAUUAUUGGGCGUAAAGGGCGCGUAGGUGGCCCGGUCAGUUCGUGGUGAAAGCGCGGGGCUCAACCCUGCGUCGGCCAUGAAUACUGCCGCGGCUGGAGCACUGUAGAGGCAGGCGGAAUUCCGGGUGUAGCGGUGGAAUGCGUAGAGAUCCGGAAGAACACCGGUGGCGAAGGCGGCCUGCUGGGCAGUUGCUGACACUGAGGCGCGACAGCGUGGGGAGCAAACAGG
rnacentral:rRNA from 1 species